rnacentral:rRNA from 1 species
AUUGAACGCUGGCGGCAGGCCUAACACAUGCAAGUCGAGCGGAUGACGGGAGCUUGCUCCUUGAUUCAGCGGCGGACGGGUGAGUAAUGCCUAGGAAUCUGCCUAUUAGUGGGGGACAACAUUCCGAAAGGAAUGCUAAUACCGCAUACGCCCUACGGGGGAAAGCAGGGGAUCUUCGGACCUUGCGCUAAUAGAUGAGCCUAAGUCGGAUUAGCUAGUUGGUAGGGUAAAGGCCUACCAAGGCGACGAUCUGUAGCGGGUCUGAGAGGAUGAUCCGCCACACUGGGACUGGGACACGGCCCAGACUCCUACAGGAGGCGGCAGUGGGGAAUAUUGGACAAUGGGCGGAAGCCUGAUCCAGCCAUGCCGCGUGUGUGAAGAAGGCCUUUUGGUUGUAAAGCACUUUAAGCGAGGAGGAGGCUACCUGGAUUAAUACUCUAGGAUAGUGGACGUUACUCGCAGAAUAAGCACCGGCUAACUCUGUGCCAGCAGCCGCAGUAAGAC